CUGCUUGCGCAGCAACUUCCAUGCGGGCUUACCUCUUCAUUURUGCUACAAGCCUUGUUUGGCUUGCAGCAUUCGGUGGGUUUCUUGUGUUGAUUACCUAAUCGAUGGCAUUGUUUGWCCCCAUUAGUUKGAUUUUGUAACACGUUGCUUGCGGCGUGAUACAAACAAUGAAGCAACCUUUGUUGUUCAACCUGUUGCUGCUCAUGCAUCGAUGGCUUGGCCCAUGAAGUGUUGAUUGGUCCCUUGGAUAUGGAACAUGAUGUGGGCACAAGUUCGUCAAAGAUCUUGUAUUUGCCCUAUUGAGUGAUUUAGCUUCUUUAAAUGACCGUUGUCCA
rnacentral:misc_RNA from 1 species